rnacentral:lncRNA from 1 species
GGUCGUUAGUUUUCACGUUUGAAAUGUUUUGCAUUUGUCAUUUCGGGGCCUUUUAUAGCUGACUAUGCGGUAUGGGGAUUGCUCACUGAUGAAGGCUGUACGGUGACCUAUUGUUGUUAAUUUCUGUGUCAUUUGGUCUCUUGUGGAGAGUUGCCUCAUUGGCAAUCAUACCACAUCUUCUUUUUUAUAUUGUAUGUUUUUCUUAUUUUAGGCUUUAUGGUGACCUAUAGUUUACAUCCUCAUUCA